rnacentral:hammerhead_ribozyme from 1 species
ACACUGCUGAGGAGUCCCAACCAGAACGAAACAGCUGUCCAGUGC